AUGAACGCUGGCGGUGUGCCUAACACAUGCAAGUCGAACGAGAUCGCAAGAUCUAGUGGCGAACGGGUGAGUAACGCGUAGGAAUCUGCCCCGAACUGGGAAAUACCCAGCCGAAAGGUUGGCUAAUGUCCCAUAGUCCCGCAAGGGUAAAGAUUUAUCGGUUCGGGAAGAGCCUGCGUCCUAUCAGCUAGUUGGUGGGGUAAAAGCCUACCAAGGCAUUGACGGGUAGCUGGUCUGAGAGGAUGAUCAGCCACAAUGGGACUGAGACACGGCCCAUACUCCUACGGGAGGCAGCAGUUGGGAAUUGUACGCAAUGGACGCAAGUCUGACGUCGCGACACCGCGUGGAGGAAGAAGGCUUUCGGGUUGUAAACUCCUUUUAUCAGGGACGAUGAUGACGGUACCUGAGGAAUAAGCACCGGCUAACUACGU
rnacentral:rRNA from 1 species